GAUGAACGCUGGCGGCGUGCCUAAUACAUGCAAGUCGAGCGAAUGGAUUAAGAGCUUGCUCUUAUGAAGUUAGCGGCGGACGGGUGAGUAACACGUGGGUAACCUGCCCAUAAGACUGGGAUAACUCCGGGAAACCGGGGCUAAUACCGGAUAACAUUUUGAACCGCAUGGUUCGAAAUUGAAAGGCGGCUUCGGCUGUCACUUAUGGAUGGACCCGCGUCGCAUUAGCUAGUUGGUGAGGUAACGGCUCACCAAGGCAACGAUGCGUAGCCGACCUGAGGGGGUGAUCGGCAACACUGGGACUGAGACACGGCCCAGACUCCAACGGGAGGCAGCAGUAGGGAAUCUUCCGCAAUGGACGAAAGUCUGACGGAGCAACGCCGCGUGAGUGAUGAAGGCUUUCGGGUCGUAAAACUCUGUUGUUAGGGAAGAACAAGUGCUAGUUGAAUAAGCUGGCACCUUGACGGUACCUAACCAGAAAGCCACGGCUAACUACGUGCCAGCCGCCGCUGUAA
rnacentral:rRNA from 1 species